AUUGGUUGUGAAGGAAACCUGUUUUUAAACAAAUUAGUUGGAAGUCAAAUUAUUGUUGCUCCUCAGCUUCAAUACAAAUCUGGCCUUAAACAAAUGACGGAGAAAGUGUCUGAAAAACUGAAAGAACAGGGCUCAUCAGCUUAUCUGAUUGAAGUUGGAGGCUCCUCUUACAUGGUUACUUAACUGCAUUUCAAGAAAUGAUAGAUCAGUUGGCAGCAAUGGAAGUGUAUCAGGAAUUGCCAUUGGUAACUAUUAAACAGGAUCAAAAUUCAAGUGUCAUGCAGUGAAUGUGUGGGAUGAUGCAGCAUAUUUUUAUCAGAAAAGACCUUCAAAUAGGUGGACUAGAUGUUCAAGGAGGAGAAAUAAUUGA
rnacentral:lncRNA from 1 species